CAAGUACUCCAUGAAGAGGUAACAAAGGCAGCAACAAUAAAGGAAAAGACCAGCUUCUUGGAGACAAAACUAGGUCGCCUGGGAACUUUAACUUCAGCCUAUGAAUACCUCCAUUUGACCUCCUGUCACAAACUGGUCAAAGCUUGAAAGGAUCCUCUUUAUCUCUCCGCAGAUGGGAAACUUGCCUCUCUGUAACUUUUGUCUAAAGUAACCAUGCUAUAAAAAUAUGAUGACUGCCUCUGCAGCACUUGCCCGCUUCUAUAAUGAGAUAAUUGCAGAUAAAGCAGGCAGCUAGCAUCCAAUAACAACUCUGAGACCUGGGGGCUAUUCUUCCUUUUGGAGGAGCGGGGUGUACUGCGGAAGGAAAAUUCCUGUGUUGGUCACAGUGGCCAAGAUUUGGCUUUUCGCAAUCAUUUCAUUUUUUCCUCUUCCCUGAGGAAUUUCCCUUCACUGCACGAAGUACUUUAUUUCUCUACGGCAACCUUCAGGGUUCGGAUGAAGAAUGACCAGUCAGUCACAACUGUGCCCCAUGCUGCCACGUCUUGCAGUGAUCUUGCAUGAACUUCAGCGAUUGCUUUCCUUCUGUUUCCUGCAUGGAAAAAAGUACUGCUGUCUUAUCUAACAAAAUUUUCGACAAUGCUGGGUGAACUGGGCCAGAAUCUCAGAAGAACCUACCAGGAUCUACUAUAAAUGAUAAAGCAAUAAAGGAAAAGGUUAGCAAACCUCUCA
rnacentral:lncRNA from 1 species